UACGAAGGGGGCUAGCGUUGUUCGGAAUUACUGGGCGUAAAGCGUACGUAGGCGGAUUGUUAAGUGAGGGGUGAAAUCCCGAGGCUCAACCUCGGAACUGCCUUUCAUACUGGCAAUCUUGAGUCCAGGAGAGGUGAGUGGAACUCCUAGUGUAGAGGUGAAAUUCGUAGAUAUUAGGAAGAACACCAGUGGCGAAAGGCGGCUCACUGGCCCGGAACUGACGCUGAGGUACGAAAGCGUGGGGAGCAAACAGG
rnacentral:rRNA from 1 species